GUCUUCUUGAUUUUUAUAGGAAGUCUGACCUGCCCAGUGAAUAAUUUUUUAACGGCCGCGGUAUUUUGACCGUGCAAAGGUAGCAUAAUCAUUAGUCUUUUAAUAGAAGGCUGGCAUGAAUGGUUUGACGAGGUGCUGACUGUCUCAUUUAAUUUUUUAUUAGAAUUUAACUUUUUAGUUAAAAGGCUAAAAUGUUUUUGGAAGACGAGAAGACCCUAUAGAGCUUUAUAAUAUUUUUGAUUUAUCAUAUUUGGUUCAAUUUCUGUGAUUAUUCAUUUUAUUAUUUUGUUGGGGUGACAAAAAUAUAUAAUUAACUUUUUUAUUUAUUAUACAUUAAUUUAUGGUUUAUUAGAUCCAUUCUUAGUGAUUGCUAGACUAAGUUACCUUAGGGAUAACAGCGUAAUCUUCUUUCAGAGUUCAAAUUUACAAGAAGGCUUGCGACCUCGAUGUUGGAUUAAGAUUAUAAUUAGGUGCAGCCGCUUAAUUUAUAGGUCUGUUCGACCUUUAAUUUCUUACAUGAUCUGAGUUCAAACCGG
rnacentral:rRNA from 1 species